rnacentral:tRNA from 1 species
UAUAAAGUAAUUUAUUUAAUAAAAUAUAUAAUUUCGGGUUAUACAAAAUCUUUUAAAGUUCUUUAUAA